UACAGAGGUCUCAAGCGUUGUUCGGAUUCAUUGGGCGUAAAGGGUGCGUAGGCGGCCUUCUAAGUCGAACGUGAAAUCCCCGGGCUCAACCCGGGAACUGCGUCCGAUACUGGAAGGCUUGAAUCCGGGAGAGGGAUGCGGAAUUCCAGGUGUAGCGGUGAAAUGCGUAGAUAUCUGGAGGAACACCGGUGGCGAAGGCGGCAUCCUGGACCGGCAUUGACGCUGAGGCGCGAAAGCCAGGGGAGCAAACGGG
rnacentral:rRNA from 1 species